rnacentral:rRNA from 1 species
GAACGCGAAAGUGGAGCAAUCCAUGAGUAGAGUGGCAAACGGGUGAGUAACGCGUGGGUGAUCUGCCUUCGAGCGGGGGAUAACGUUCCGAAAGGGACGCUAAUACCGCAUGACAUUCUGCUUUUGAAGAGGCGGAAAUCAAAGCUGGGGAUCGCAAGACCUAGCACUCGAAGAGGGGCCCGCGUCCGAUUAGCUAGUUGGUGAGGUAACGGCUCACCAAGGCAACGAUCGGUAGCCGGCCUGAGAGGGCGGACGGCCACACUGGGACUGAGACACGGCCCAGACUCCUACGGGAGGCAGCAGUGGGGAAUUGUUCGCAAUGGGCGCAAGCCUGACGACGCAACGCCGCGUGGAGGAUGAAGAUCUUCGGGUCGUAAACUCCUUUCGAUCGAGACGAAUUCCUCGGUGACGAACAAUCAUCGAGGUUGACGGUACCGAGAGAAGAAGCCCCGGCUAACUCCGUG